GAUAAACGCUGGCGGCGUGCAUGAGACAUGCAAGUCGAACGAAGGAUCGGGCUUGCUCGAUCCUUAGUGGCGGACGGCUGAGUAACGCGUAGGUGACCUACCCCGAAGUGGGGAAUAACUGCCCGAAAGGGCGGCUAAUACCGCAUGUGGUCGCACGUUCAUUCGUGCGAGUAAAGCCGCAAGGCGCUUCGGGAGGGGCCUGCGUCCGAUUAGCUCGUUGGUGGGGUAAUGGCUUACCAAGGCGACGAUCGGUAGGUGGUCUGAGAGGACGAUCACCCAGACUGGGACUGAGACACGGCCCAGACUCCUACGGGAGGCAGCAGUCGGGAAUUUUGCUCAAUGGGGGAAACCCUGAAGCAGCAACGCCGCGUGAGGUAUGAAGGCCUUCGGGUUGUAAACCUCUUUUGUCAGGGACGAUGAUGACGGUACCUGGCGAAUAAGCCACGGCUAACUACGUG
rnacentral:rRNA from 1 species